GUGCUUUAGGGAUGAACACGUCCCAGAUAUUUACCCAUCCGAAUCACUUUGUCAGCUCUUGUUGUUGAUUGCUUGCUGAUCAUUAUAGGAUGGAAUAUGU